AGCAUGUGGUUUAAUUCGAAGCAACGCGAAGAACCUUACCAGGCCUUGACAUGCAGAGAACUUUCCAGAGAUUGGAUUGGUGCCUUCGGGAACUCUGACACAGGUGCUGCAUGGCUGUCGUCAGCUCGUGUCGUGAGAUGUUGGGUUAAGUCCCGCAACGAGCGCAACCCUUAUCAUUAGUUGCUACGCAAGGGCACUCUAAUGAGACUGCCGGUGACAAACCGGAGGAAGGUGGGGAUGACGUCAAGUCCUCAUGGCCCUUAUGGGUAGGGCUUCACACGUCAUACAGUGGUCGGUACAGAGGGUUGCCAAGCCGCGAGGCGGAGCCAAUCCCACAAAGCCGAUCGUAGUCCGGAUUGUUCUCUGCAACUCGAGAGCAUGAAGUCGGAAUCGCUAGUAAUCGCAGGUCAGCAUACUGCGGUGAAUACGUUCCCGGGUCUU
rnacentral:rRNA from 1 species